rnacentral:lncRNA from 1 species
UCGCCUUUAUGUCUAAGAAACUAAGAAUCCAUAUUGAUGCAUAUAAAUGUAAAUGAAGCAUGUAAAUGAUGCAUGUAACUAAAUAAUGCAUGUUGAUAGUAUGAUGUAAAUGCUAAAUAGAAUGCAUUAUGAGCAAGUUACAUAAUGCUAAAUAAUGUAAUGUAGAAAUGCUAGAAUGCAUUAUGAGCAAGUUACAUAAUGCUAAAUAAUGUAAUGUAGAAAUGCUAGAAUGCAUAAUGAGCAAGUUAUAUGAUGCAUGUUUAUAGUACGAUGUAAAUGCUAAGUAGAUGCAUAUAAAUGAUAUAUGAGAUUAUAAACGCAUGAUUAGCAUUAUGAGAUCAUAGAUGCAUGCUUAGCAUUGUGAGAUUAUAUAUGCAUAUGAACUUGGCUGAUAACUCUAGCUUGAAUAGAGAGAUAACAUUGAAAAAUGAGAAUUGAUGACUCUAGAAUGAGUAGAAUGCUUAAUUGGACAAUUAGUAUGUGAAUUAGAUCGAGUGGCAUCUAACUUAGUGUUAAGGAACAUAGGUCGUGAGUAGACCUAUAAUCAAAUAGAUCGAGUGGCAUCUAACCUAGUGUUAUUAAACAUAGGUCGUGAAAUGAAAAGUACUUAACCUAGAGUCAAGUGAACCAAGGUUAGAAAGAAUAAUGAUCCUAGUGUAAUAAACCUAGGUUAAGAAUGUGAAAGCAAUAAAUCUAAUGGGUGAACUUAGGUUGAGUAAAGGCUUAGACCUAGAGAGGUCAGUUCCAUAGGGUUAAGACCAACCCCUAUGUGAUCUGAAAUGGAUUCCGGAAUCCCAAGGCUAAAAGGAUACACCCAAAGUGGUGUCGGGUGUGUGCGAUGAUUGCGCCGCCCAAGGGCUAAAGAACCUUUGUCGUGGCGUGUGCGACGAUUUCGCCGCCGGAUGGUUAGCCAGUUUGUGGAUCCUACCGCCUGUUGACUGAACCACUGUCGUGGUGUUUGUGCGACGAUUUCGCCGCCGGGUGGCUAAGUCAUGGACCUAGGCCGUUGUUGGGUGAGGUGCGAUUCGUCCGCCGCCAGACGGCUAGGACAGGAGUACGGUGAGCUGUUGCCAGCUGAGGUGCAUGUGAGAGUUCCUUCACCUCGAGCUAGACAGUGCGCGGACUAUCCGCGAUUGAUUGACUCAAGACCGAGUCGGGUGGCAUAGAGAACUAAGGUAAGAGAAACCUUAGGAAAGAAUGGCCAGUAGAAAAGUGCGACAAAGUGUAAAGAAUAAAGAAUAAGUAAAGAAUAAAGUUCGGCUAAGGAAUAAGAAUAGCUGAUUAGUAAAGAAAGGUUACAAGUAAAGAAUAGCUAAGAGCUAAAAGUAAUUAAAUGACAAGAGUAAAGAAUGAUUAAGAAUAUAAGUAGCGUUAAAGUAACCUACUUGCAUGAUUACAGGUAUUGCAUAUUGCAUUUCGUGAGGCAUGACAUGUAUUUCAAUUGAAUAUAUAUAUCUGUUGUAUAUUGUUGAACUAACAUGUUGCAGUGCCUCGUUAGACCUGUUGGUUGAGCUGGUUCUCUUGGGUGGCUAAACCCACUGAGGACUAUGGACAAUAGUCUCACCCCCGUGUUGCUGUUUUGGGGGUACAGGUACACACGUGUGCGGCGCGGCGGCGCAAGGCGAGGGCGUAGUUCUGCAGAUAGCGCCCUACCCCAGAGACCAGAGCUAGCAGUACCCCAUCUAUAUAGCUUAGGGGUAAAGGAAAUGAAAAGAAUACAAUGUAUCAAACUUGUAGUAAGUAAAUGUUGUAAUAACUUAGAUUGCAUUUGGAUGAAAAAGAAUGGAAACUGUGAUGUAAAAACUAUGAAAGUGAAUGAAUGUAAUAACUUAGGAUGUGUUUAUGUUGUAUGAUACCUUCCACUUGAAAUCUUGAUUGAUAUCCGUUCCUGGUUGGAACCUUCGUGAAUUGUAUUGAUUGCGAUGCUUUGAAUGUACAGGGGAGACUCUGUCCGUAGUACAAGGGAAACCUUGUCCAUUCGGCGAUGUCGGCGGCGCCGGGACCUUGGCCAAAUAGGCGGGUGGUCGCGGGCUGUGACAGUUGUGGUAUCAGAGCAUAAAGUAGAGAAUGGGAAUGGCUUAGACUGACCUAGGAGACCCUAGGAUAGUAAAACCAUAGAAGAAUAAGGCUCGUGAGAGACGAGGACUCAUGAUUCGUGGCGAAAGGUUAAUGGAUUGGGUUGUGUUGUAAACCUCUAAGACGGAUAUUAGAGGUAGACUCGAGGUGUUGUUUAUUCUCAGCCAAGGAUGUUCAUGUUGGGCGUACGACAACAUGAAACCGAGUGAUGUGAAUAAACACCCUUGCGUGACUUUCGCCUGAUUGGCUUUUGAGCCGGUGUUAGUGGUCUCGUGUUCGACCCAAGUUGGUCGAGAACUAAUCGAGUUGUCGUGUUUCAGGAAGCGAUGGCACCGCGUAGGCGAUCUUCUUCCAGAUCGGCGCGGGAGGGGACAAGUGGUGUUCCCGAGCAAGUCGACGCGAGCGAAGGCGCAGAGCUUCGUGAUCAGUUGGCCACACUCAUUGGAGUGAUGAGGCAACAAGCUGAUGUGGUGCAGAGGCAGCAGGAGGCUGCUAUGCGCCAGGAAGAGCGAAUGGAAAGACUCCAAGAAACGGUGGACCAGCUGGUGGGUGCACCAGCUGCGGCUCGUCGAGAACGGCCGGGAGUCGCGGCGGAGAUGUUCCCGUCGGGGUCGGGCGAUCCGACUCCUGUUAGUUCAGAGGUGGCGGCAGAAAGGGAGCGAGCUUUGGCUGCCCUCAUGGCUUUCAAGAAAUUUGAUCCGCCUACCUUCGAUGGUGAGGAUCCAGAUCCGUGGAUCGUGGAGAUGUGGAUUGAUGCCAUGGAAACGCUCUUCGAGGAUCUGUACACGUUGGAGCGAGACAAGGUAAACCUAGUCGCGCAUUAUCUCAAACAGUCGACGAAGGUGUAGUGGAAAGGCGUCAAGCAUGAUCGACCGCCUAGUCUCCCUCCUAUGACGUGGGAAGAAUUUCGGGGAUUGGUGUUCUCUGCUUAUUUCCCCGAUAGCGAGAAGCGGAAGCUCAAGGAAAGGUUCCUUAAGCUGCGGCAAGGAAGUCGCACGGUCAGGCAAUAGGAGCGGGAGUUUUUCCGUAUCGUGCAUUGUAUCCCAAACGUGGUGCGAGAUGACAAGGACAGGGCCGACUGCUUCGUGCGUGGACUUCAGCCAGAUCUUUACCAGGCGGUGCUGGUACUCAAGUUGCAGAUUUUUGCUGAAGUCCUGGAUCGGGCCUUGUGGAUAGAACAGGGCAACGCCUUUAUGCGGGAAGAGCGAGAGGCAUAUUACAAGGAAAAGGGGAAAGGACGACCGACAGGUGGAUCCAGUAGUCAGUCAAGUUCCCAACGGACUUUGACGAGUUCGCACUCGCGAUCCCGAGCUCCGGGGACAUACCGCAUUCAGUCCUCGGCGAAAUGUGCUAUUUGUGGAGGCCCUCAUUUCCCACGACAGUGUGAGCAACGUGAAGGCAAGUACUUCAAGUGUGGGCUGCCGGGUCAUAUGUGGGACGAGUGUCCGCGUGGUGACGGCCGGGCCUUGACACUGGCGACGGCCCAUCCCUCUCUGGGACAACCUGCAGGUGUGCCACCUGCGGCAUGGUCGGGAGAGCGGCCGUUGAGGACGAUGCAACCAGAGGGUUCGCGACGAGCGCCAGGUGGGCAUCGGUAAGCGACCCGAGUUGCAGAGCCUGCCGUUGCUGACGUCAUCGUGGCAGGUAUGAGUUAAUUGAGCAAGCAUGUGCUUUUACUAAUCUCAAGUUGGUGCAUAGCAUGCAUUUGUUGUUGGUCGGUUGCUACUAAUUAUAUAUUGCAUAGUAGGGACCGAAUAGUCGGGUAAGUAGACGCCCGUACAUGCUUGCAUUGUGAGAAGUGGCACCUGCUGGUGCAAGUAGAAAGCCAAGUGGUGCUAGCUAAUGGCUAGUGAUGAUUCUCCGGUACGGAAUGAGGCUCGUGGAGAACAUGGUCUAGUAAGUGACUCUCGAAAUAAUGGGUUGAAAAUUGUGAGAGUUGAGCCUUGAUGUUGAGGAUACUCGAAAGACACGGGAGUUGAGAAUGUAUUCCGGUAGAUCGAACAGUGAAGGUAGAAUCACUGUUGAGAGAGUAACCGUAUAGUUGCCGAAUACGGGCACGUAGGCCUAGUAGUACCUCAAGUUGAGGUCGGCGAGUCCUGCUCGUGUAGUCGGUGUGCAUAGGCAAGGUUGCCUGAUGCUAGAUUUCGUGGAACGCUUUAGAGGCGUAGAGCGCUCGAGUGUAGUUACUCGUGAAGUGCGGUUUUGAUUCAGCCGGUUGAGUGAAUUGGCAGUAGCACUUUAGCAGGGCUAAGUGUGAAGCGGGCCAUGGAUCACUCGUAGGGCUGGUGGCUCGCACUAGGUACCUGGGGGCCGAUAGAGUGUGUAGCUCUGUAGAGCAUGUCGUUUAGGACGACGACGACGAGUGGUGCUUGAGGAUGACCCGUGCCUGGACCGUUUGUGAACUGUGUAGCCUGGGCCCAUUGGGCAGGCGCAGUCAGCUGUGAGAGACAGCGGCCCGAUACCUACUGGUAGGGCAUAGUGUUGGUCAGGACGGUAGUCCGAGCUUGGACAUAAGUACGUGGAAUGCCACGCGAUAGAUCGUGAGAUUGAUGGCACACCAAGUGUGUAGUGACCCAACCCGAGGACUUGACGUGGUCUAGGAUCUUGGUUGCACCUGGUUGGAGUGUGUGUGAAUUCUCCAAUGAGAAUUUCGCCCAAUGAUGAUUGGAUCUACGAUGCGGGCAAGAGACGCUAUGCGUAGUUGUGACAGGUAUAGGCGGUAGGCCUACGUAAUGAUUAUGAUCGUUGGUCCGCCUGUGAAAACCGAUGAUCAGUGCGGCAAGCAACUCUGUUAGUGAGUUGGGCUUGGAUUCACGAACGGAGGGUUCGUGUGAUGUUGAACGUGGCUUGUGGUAGUAAAGGAUAAAGAGAAAAGUAAAGUGUUCUCUAGGAGACACUUGAAUAAGAAAUAGCCACGUGAGGGUUGGUGUAAGGAAGUGAAUUCUCGAAAUGCGAGAGUUGGACUUCGCUCAAAAUCGACAAAUUGUCGAGUGGUUGUGCUUCGGAAAUGCCGAAGAGGUCAAAUACACCAAAGGUGCAUUGCAACGGAUCUGCGAGAGCAAGUGUGCAAAAAUCUGCACUUGGCAGAUUUGCUCUCGGGGACCGAUCCCUGUCAAGGAAGGACCGGUCCCCCGUAGCUGGUUGGUGCGAGGUUGCGUGAUGCAACCGGUCCCUUGGCCAGAGGGACCGGUCCCCCGUAUGCGAAACCGGCGAGAAGAGGAAAUUGGCUAAGUCCUGCGAGAGCAAGCUCUCGGGGACCGGUCUCUAGUGGACAGACCGGUCUCCGGGGGACCGGUCCUCCAGGGACAGACCGGUUCCCGUAAGUGUGUUCAGGCUGAAGGCUCUCGGGGACCGGUCCCUGGCAGGGAGAGACCGGUCCCUCUACACAUAAAAUUUUCCAGGCAGGCUGGGUCAUGUUGGAGGAGUUGGAAUUGUUUGAGUUUCGAGGACGAAACUCUUAUAAGGAGGGGAGAAUGUAACAUACCGAAUUUUAAAUAUAAAAGAGAAAAAUAAAUAAAAAUAGUAUGAGAUACUAUUUUAUUGGAUUUAGAGAAGUGAAAUAUCGGUUGGGAACGACCUGUGCUGAAAUCGGAGCGAAAACAGAAGAUUUAGAAUUUUCUGUUGGAAACGGGACUGAUAAAUUAGCAGAAAAUGCACAGUCUCAGAAAAUUAUAAAAAAUUAGAGGAUAAGUCAGAAAUAUUUUUAUGAGGCUAGAUUUGAAGUUUCAUAUUUUUCUGACGCCCGUAGAGAGAGAAAUAGCAUCCGAAAGCUAUCUGAUAAAGAUUGCAGUUCGGUACAGUUUUCAGUGACCAAACGGGGUCGAAACUGAAAUAUUAAAAUUUCUUUGGACUUAUUAAGUAAAACCGAGCAUGCCUGUCAAAUUUGAGCUCAAACGGACAUUCAGAAGGGCUCCGGCGAAAAAUAAACUGCCCGAAGUGAAUAGUGCGUAGUUGAGGGGCAAAAUGGUAAAAAGGGUUUAAAACCCCUUUUCUUCUUCUCCUCCCAACCGUGGCUGCCCCAACCGCACACACCACACACGCAUACACAAGAACACACACACGCAUGGAAAGGAAAGGAGAGAAAUCCCUUUCUCUCUCUAAAUCUCUCCCAAAAUGGAUGGAUUUGGUGGAGAUUGAAGCUUGGAGGUGGAUCGCCUUCGUCUUCUUCAUCUUCUCCAUGGUUUGGAGCUCAUUUUGAGGUGAGCUUCUUGAGCCCUUUAAUGGUAGAUCUUUAAUGCUUGGUUUAAAUACCUUAUAAAUGGAUUUAGAGGAGUCCUAGCAUGCUAUCUAGAUGAUUAAUGCUUGAAUCAUGGAUCAAUUUAGUGAUUUCUUGCAUAGUUGUAACCUAGGGCUCCAAAAUGCAAACUUUCAAAAUAUGAGGGUUUGAUCUCAUUUGACCCUUCGUAAACCUAAUUGCUAGGUAACGAAACGCGUUGGCGAAGACGGUUCGGCAAUCCGACGAGCCGUUACAAAGUUAUUAAAGAAAUGGACGUUUAGGCUUCGGGUCCGCCGGGAGGGCCGAGGCGACGUCGUAAAAUCAUGGAAAUGGAUUUGAGGCAUCGUGGCACAUAACCGAAGACCUAUAAUUUUCGGGGCUGCGAAGCGGAGCACGGUUGAGGCGCAGUUGCAGUAUCGGGCCGUGCCGGAUACGGGUGCCGCGGGAGGCCGAUUGCAAGUGUCGACAAGCAAUCGGAACGCGAAUUAAGGUGGGUUGUGUUUACCGAAGCGACUAGGUCGCCUUUAUGUCUAAGAAACUAAGAAUCCAUGUUGAUGCAUAUAAAUGUAAAUGAAGCAUGUAAAUGAUGCAUGUAGCUAAAUAAUGCAUGUUGAUAGUAUGAUGUAAAUGCUAAAUAGAAUGCAUUAUGAGCAAGUUACAUAAUGCUAAAUAAUGUAAUGUAGAAAUGCUAGAAUGCAUUAUGAGCAAGUUACAUAAUGCUAAAUAAUGUAAUGUAGAAAUGCUAGAAUGCAUAAUGAGCAAGUUAUAUGAUGCAUGUUUAUAGUAUGAUGUAAAUGCUAAGUAGAUGCAUAUAAAUGAUAUAUGAGAUUAUAAACGCAUGAUUAGCAUUAUGAGAUCAUAGAUGCAUGCUUAGCAUUGUGAGAUUAUAUAUGCAUAUGAACUUGGUUGAUAACUCUAGCUUGAUUAGAGAGAUAACAUUGGAAAAUGAGAAUUGAUAACUCUAGAAUGAGUAGAAUGCUUAAUUGGACAAUUAGUAUGUGAAUUAGAUCGAGUGGCAUCUAACUUAGUGUUAAGGAACAUAGGUCGUGAGUAGACCUAGAAUCAAAUAGAUCGAGUGGCAUCUAACCUAGUGUUAAUAAACAUAGGUCGUGAAAUGAAAAGUACUUAACCUAGAGUCAAGUGAACCUAGGUUGGAAAGAAUAAUGAUCCUAGUGUAAUAAACCUAGGUUAAGAAUGUGAAAGCAAUAAACCUAAUGGGUGAACUUAGGUUGAGUAAAGGCUUAGACCUAGAGAGGUCAGUUCCAUAGGGUUAAGACCAACCCCUAUGUGAUGUGAAAUGGAUUCCGGAAUCCCAAGGCUAAAAGGAUACACCCAAAGUGGUGUCGGGUGUGUGCGACGAUUUCGCCGCCCAAGGGCUAAAGAACCAUUGUCGUGGCGUGUGCGACGAUUUCGCCGCCGGAUGGUUAGCCAGUUUGUGGAUCCUACCGCCUGUUGACUGAACCACUGUCGUGGCGUUUGUGCGACGAUUUCGCCGCCGGGUGGCUAAGUCAUGGACCUAGGCCGUUGUUGGGUGAGGUGCGAUUCGUUCGCCGCCAGACGGCUAGGACAGGAGUACGGUGAGCUGUUGCCAGCUGAGGUGCAUGUGAGAGUUCCUUCACCUCGAGCUAGACAGUGCGCGGACUAUCCGCGAUUGAUUGACUGAAGACCGAGUCGGGUGGCAUAGAGAACUAAGGUAAGAGAAACCUUAGGAAAGAAUGGCCAGUAGAAAAGUGCGACAAAGUGUUAAGAAUAAAGAAUAAGUAAAGAAUAAAGAUCGGCUAAGGAAUAAGAAUAGCUGAUUAGUAAAGAAAGGUUACAAGUAAAGAAUAGCUAAGAGCUAAAAGUAAACAUUAAAUGACAAGAGUAAAGAAUGAUUAAGAAUAUAAGUAGCGUUAAAGUAACCUACUUGCAUGAUUACAGGUAUUGCAUAUUGCAUUUCGUGAGGCAUGACAUGUAUUUCAAUUGAAUAUAUAUAUCUGUUGUAUAUUGUUGAACUAACAUGUUGCAGUGCCUCGUUAGACCUGUUGGUUGAGCUGGUUCUCUUGGGUGGCUAAACCCACUGAGGACUAUGGACAAUAGUCUCACCCCCGUGUUGCUGUUUUGGGGGUACAGGUACACACGUGUGCGGCGCGGCGGCGCAAGGCGAGGGCGUAGUUCUGCAGAUAGCGCCCUACCCCAGAGACCAGAGCUAGCAGUACCCCAUCUAUAUAGCUUAGGGGUAAAGGAAAUGAAAAGAAUACAAUGUAUCAAACUUGUAGUAAGUAAAUGUUGUAAUAACUUAGAUUGCAUUUGGAUGAAAAAGAAUGGAAACUGUGAUGUAAAAACUAUGAAAGUGAAUGAAUGUAAUAACUUAGGAUGUGUUUAUGUUGUAUGAUACCUUCCACUUGCAAUCUUGAUUGAUAUCUGUUCCUGGUUGGAACCUUCGUGAAUUGUAUUGAUUGCGAUGCUUUGAAUGUACAGGGGAGACUCUGUCCGUAGUACAAGGGAAACCUUGUCCAUUCGGCGAUGUCGGCGGCGCCGGGACCUUGGCCAAAUAGGCGGGUGGUCGCGGGCUGUGACAAUCAAUCCUACAGUUGAGGAUUCCAAGUUCAAUCCAUUCCUUAACUUUAAGGAAGACUAUGCUCAAUUGACCCUUAGUACUAAGGUUGAAUGUCAUAAUAUCUCAAUCGUUCUUGUUCUUGCAUUCUUUACUACCACUAAUGUCAUAUACACUAUCAAGUUCUUGAACUCAUGCCACACUUGUUCUCUAAAUGCUAGAUUUUUGUCCUCAUGCCAAAUGCCACACUUGUUUACUAAGGAUUCUAGACUCGUCGAUGUCAUUUGCUAGAUCUAUGUCAAAGUGUCACUUUUCGUUUACUAACCCUUCUAGGUUCUUGUCACAAUCAUGCAUACAUAGGGAUCAUCAUUCUCACACCCUUACAAAUAUUUAACAUGCAUUUGAAUUUACAUUAAACUAUAACAAAACUCACAAUUGACCCUAUUAUGCAAGAUGCUCAAAAAUGCACAUAUACUCAAAAUAUAACAAUUAGACAUAGAAAGACUUCCGAUGUCCUUGGAAUGCACCACCUACCUUAGAUGGUUACAAGGAUACUUCGGUGAAUUUCUUGGAAUUUUUUUGAAACCCUAAUCCGCGUGCUGCGGCUAUCUGUACGGAAAACGAUGUUUUUGUCAAUAACUUUGCAUACACUCGUCGGAUUGUCGAACCGAGCGUUCCAACGCGUUUAAAAUACCCUCAAUUAGGUUUCUACAUGAUCAAAAUAUAUCAAAACCUAACUUGGGCAAAACCCCUCUUUGGGAUGCCCUAACAUGCAAUUUUUGUAUUUUUCCUAGAUUGAUCUCAUUACUAAGAAAAAGAAAGCUUAGAAUCACUUGGGAAGCUUUCUAACAAGGUUUCUAAACUUUUAGAACCAUCCCUAGAGCAUCUACUUUGAGCCCUAGUGAUCCACCAUGAGAGGGGUCCAAGAAAUCCAUGUUUUUCAUGGAGUCAUGGUUCUUAGAGGAUUUCCUCACUUGUAGAGAGAUCAAGACCCAAAAAUCUAAGGUCUAAACCCAAACCCUAAACCCAUUUUUGCAUAAGGACUCACUUUUGCCCAAGCUCCAUCAAAGCCUACUUGUUGGAGAGCUUCUAGGAACACCAAAGCCACCAAAAUCCAUUUCUCCAAGCUCUUCUCCACCUUCUCCAAGCUCUAGGGCUUGCUUUCUAGAGAGAGAAAGAGAGGAAAAUGAGAGAGGGGGAUGUGUGUGGCUGUGGGAGGGAGAGAGAGAGGUGUUGGGGAGUUAACAUGUUGCUACAAUUGCAACUAGGCCCUCCAUUUCUUUUUAUUUGCGUCAGACCUCACUGGGCUGUCUGGGGCCUCUUGUACCGGUACAAGGAUUCUUGUACGGGUACAAGGCCAAACAGUGAGCCAAACCCGAGAGCUGCCUCUUGGGUUCGCAGGGUCUGUACCGGUACAAGGGGUCUUGUACCGGUACAAGGCCUGGACUGCACCAACCCGAGAGCUGCCUCUCGGGUUCGCAGGGUCUGUACCGGUACAAGGGGUCUUGUACCGGUACAAGGCCUGGACUGCACCAAUCCGAGAGCUACUCAGCUCGGAUUGCGCUGGUUGUACCGGUACAACUAUCACCUUGUACCGGUACAACAGCUCCAGAAUGUUGUUUUAGGCUUCGAUUCGACUCUACCUCGCGUCGGUCGAUGCUAAAACCAUUCUAAGUCUUCCCAAACUCAUUUUUAGCCCUUCCAACAUUAUUGGAAUGCAAGAGGAACUUGUCUAUCGUUUUCUUUCGAUGCUUUAACCAAUUUGGUCAAAGUUCAAUUAUCGUUUUCGGGUUUCGAUAUGUUACAUGCAGCUUGCCUCCUUCGGACCUGUCGAUCGAGCUUUUCCCUUGAGCGGCCGUACCCACUGGGAACUAUGGAGUUAGUUCUCACCCCACGUUGCUUUUGGGGUGUUACAGGUUCACACGUGAGCGGCGCGGCCACGCGAGGCGAGGGCGUAGCUCCGUAGAUAGAGCCCUACCACCGUGACCAGAGAUAGCAGUACCCAAGUCAGCCAAGCUAGGGGUUGUAGAAAAUGAAAGCAAAAUGAUCAAACUUGUAAUAAUCUUGUGAUGAUUGAUUGUAUUCGGAAGUUUAAAUGUAUUUGAAAGGAAAAGAAAUGUAAAUAAUAUCAAGUGAAUGAAUGUAAUAACUUAGGAUGUGUUUAUGUUGUUUGAUACCUUCCUUAUGCAAUCGUUGUAUGUUGAAUACUGUUCUUGGUUGGAACCUGUUGUAAUUGUAUUGAUUGCGACGCCUAGGACGUACAGGAAAAACUCUGUCCGUUCGGCGGUCUGUCGGCGUGCCGAACCUGACCAAAUAGGCGGGGCUCGGGGCGUGACAACACUGGACCUUUGUAAAUUGUGAGGUUCGAGUGUUUGAUUUGUAUUCUGAGCUUUUCCACAUUUUUUGGAAGGUCGUAGAUAGUGUUUCGACCUAUGGCUCGCAUCUCGAGAAUCGAGAUUUUAAACUUAGCGCUAAGGUCUCCAAAGAGAAGGACUUAGGCUGCUCUCGGGUUGGUUUCUGCAGAGUGUGGUACCGGUACAGCAUUGAGCUUGUACCUGAAUGAGGGGUGGUACCGGUACAACAUCGGGUUUGUACCGGUAUCAGGCAUCGUUUUCUGCCAACCCGAGGCUCGGGUUUGCGUGCACAGUGUUUGAUACCGGUACUCUUGCCCGAUGGUACCAGUACGCAGUGCAGUCCGCAAACUGCUUGUUUUGGGAGGGUGUUUUUACAAUUAUAGCAUCUCUAUAUAACACCCCACGCCCCUUAGGUGUUUCCCUGAGCUUGGAAACACAGGAGGAAGGGAGGAAAGCCCUCCACUUCCACCCUUUGGUUUUUUUUGAUUUAUGUUGGAAUUUUUCAGAUUUAAUCCUCUCUUUUUGUCCCUUUUUGCUUGUUGGUAGUAUUUCCACCAUGGUUGAAGGCUUGGAGCUUGGAGAAAAGCUUGUUGGAGGAGAGAUCUUCAACCCUAGUUGAUUUCAAGCCUUAUUUGGAGCUUCUCUUGAGGUUAGUAAUAUAUUUCUUGCUUUAGAUUCAUGUUUUAAUUGAUUUCUUGAGAUGAAACCCUAGAAUGUGAAACCUAGGGUUUAUUUUGGGGGUUUUUAAUUUGUAGCUCUUGGGGCUCAAUUGAUAGGUGUAGAACAUCUCGUUGGGAUAGAUUUGAAGGGCUCUAGCAUCCAUUUGAAAUUUGAGAGGGAUUUUCUAAACAUUAGGUGAGUUUUGCCUUAUUGUUGGAUUUGUUAAAGAUGAACACUUUGGGUGUUCGGUUAUUUUGUUUAACCCUCUUAGAAUUCUCUUUAGGGAGCUAAGAGACUUAUGGACAACUUCUUUUGUGUAAACGAAAGGGUUGCAAGAAGCCUCGGUGAGUUUGACCUCACCAAAAUGAGAAAAUCUCACCUAUGUCUUUUUAAAUAUUAUAAAAUAGAAAAUCAUGCAUAUUCAUGCUAGAUAAGGCAUAAAUGAAUUUUAGAAUGCUUGAAAUACACAUAUUAUAUACAAUGCAAAUUUGUACCUCUAUGUAGUAGAGAGUUAUAUAUGUCGGAAUCUUGCAUAUAAAUAGCAUUCUUAUAUGUGGCUUGGGAUCAUGUUUCAUGUAGUGAAAAUGACAAGUAUAAUAUGCCCUUGGACAUAGAUCUUAUAUUGGACAUAGGAGAAAACAUAAUGCCAUAAAGAGGCAUUAGACUAUAGUGAUGUGUGAAUUAGUAAGCUAAUGUCAUAAAGUGGCAUUAGGCUUAGAAUGUACUUGGACAUAGUAAGCUAAUGUCAUAAAGUGACAUUGGGCUUAAAAUGUGAUUGGACUUAGUAUGUUAAUGUCAUAAAGUGACAUUGAACUUAAUAUAUAGUUAAACCUUACCUUGGAACAUUAAACUAGACCGUUGGGGUUGCUAAUGAUUAUUACCAUGUUAGAGACAUGAUGACCGGGUUCUUGAGAUGACGACUAUGCUUGCUUACUAUUUGUGCUCAUUCGCACAUACUUGUGAGGGUCGCUCCCUACAAGCCGGCACUCCGGAGUUAGCCUACACGACAUAUACUCGCUUGUGCGGUAUUGAGAAGCCUACGGGGCCGGGUAGGAUAGACUCAUUCCUAGAGUGGGAAUAUUGAGCUACCACUGGCAUUUAGGCGGCACAAGCCGGACUACACUUGUAUAGGUCCUAAAAUGAGAUUGGAUAAUGACAUUAAACCAUAAUAUGACAAUCACUACUAGAUAGUUGUAGUAGUUGAAUUUCUUGAACAUGCUUGUGGCAUAGUAUUAAACACUUGGUUGAUAUACUUGGACAUAUAGUAUACUUGAUAGGGUUGCUUGUUGCAUUAUAGUAUACUUGUAUGACAUGUUUAAAGCACACUAGUAUAUAUUCUAAUGAUAUACUCAUCCAUGUUAGGCUAGCUAAUGCAAUUGUGGAACUUCAUGUUAUGUAAUGGCAUAGUAGCUAACAAAUUUAAUUCAUGUUUUAUUAUUCAUACUAUCGCUUCCAAUUAAGUGUUAGAAUUAUCUACUUUGCUUUUGGGCCUAGUGGUGCAUUUGCUAAGGUCAGUAAUUGUCUACUGGGAACUAUUAAUUAUAGUUCUCACGCCCCCUGUUUGUUAUUUUCUUUCAGAGCCUUCCACCUCGAGAGAGGCUCGGGAUCACGGGAAAGGGAUCGCCUCGAGCUAGUUAGCGAGAGAUUGUGCGAUAGGUGGUCCACCUCUCUUUUUAUUUCAUUUUGGAGAGGUUGAGAGAUCUAUACCAUUUUGUAGAGACCACCAUUUUGGAUAUUAUAGCACUUGUAUUUGAGACUUUUGAUGGAUUACUCUAUGUCUUAUCUUACUGGGUUUCCACCCUUCAUGAGCUUUGUAGUGAAGAAUAUUGAUUAAAAAUGUGGAUUUGCAAGCUAGCUAAAUACUAAUUGGUCAUAGUCACAAUUCUCCAAAUGUUGGUGGAUUUGAUUAGUUGAAUAAGAAGUUAAUUAAAAAUAAAAAAAAACUAAUUGGUAGAAGCUCUUUACGACAACAUCAUUCCUUUUCCAUUCAUUGUUUCAGGAGGGUAUAUUUAGGGUUGUAGCCGCAAUACUUCAUAUAGGAAAUAUCGACUUUUCAAAGGGGACAUAUAUAAAUAGAUUCAUCUGUAAUAAAGGAUGAGAAAGCAAGGUUCCAUUUGAACACAGCAGCAGAACUUCUAAUGUAUGUCGAUUUCAUUCCAGCACCAUAGGCCAUUUUUUUUCUAUAAUUUCCGAAAGCUAGAUGUUUGUAGUUUAUUAUUCAUGUAAUUCAUCAGCUAAUGUUUUUGCAGGUGUGAUAGCGAGAAACUAGAGAAAGCACUGAUAACACGUGUGAUAGUAACACCAGAAGGAGUUAUUACUAGAACGCUUGACCCUGCUUCUGCAAUUGUUAGCAGGUAUGGAUUAGCAAAAACAAUAUACUCCCGGUUGUUUGAUUGGUAAUGUGUUUGAUUAUAUAAGAUUAGUUCCUACACAAAUUAAAGAGUAUUUCGUUAUUGAUGCAAAGCAAGAAAUUUUAUUCCUCUUUUGUUAGAAACUGACUAUUAAUGAAUCCUAUGGAUGAAAACAGUGACUGGAAAAGCUAUAGGUAUUUAUUGCAAUUAAGUUUAGUGAUAUCUGUUAUUUGUAUUUAUUACACUAAAAAGCCCAGUGGUUAGGCAACAAUUAUAUAAAUAGAUAAAAAAGUGAUUAAUAUAAACAAACAGAGCAUAUGCAUGAAUAUCCAAAGCUAAUUAAAAAUGAAAAAAAAAAUCAAAAAAAUGAUCAAAACUUACCAAAAGAAAGUAGUGAGAAAGAAGGAAAGUGGACGAACGAUUCCUCCCAAGCGGCGAUCGUGUGCGGCUCGGAGAAGGUCCUCCUAAGCGGCGAUCGCGUGUGACACGACGAAGGUCCUCUGUAAGGUACCGGACUUCUAAAAUUAUGAAGUUACGGUGUACAUUUAAAUAGUUCCGGUGAGGUUGCGGUGGAAUGUAACAUACCGGAUUUUAAAUAUAAAAGAGAAAAAUAAAUAAAAAUAGUAUGAGAUACUAUUUUGUUGGAUUUAGAGAAGUGAAAUAUCGGUUGGGAACGACCUGUGCUGAAAUCGGAGCGAAAACAGAAGAUUUAGAAUUUUCUGUUGGAAACGGGACUGAUAAAUUAGCAGAAAAUGUACAGUCUCAGAAAAUUAUAAAAAUUGGCGGGGAUGUUAGAAAUAUUUGUAUGAGGCUAGAUUUAAAGUUUCAUAUUUUUCUGACACCCGUAGAGUGAGAAAUAAAAUCCGAAAGUUAUCUGAUAAAGAUUACAGUUCGGCACAGCUUUCGGUGACCAAACGGGGUCGAAACUGAAAUAUUAAAAUUUCUUUGGACUCUUUAAGUAAAACCGAAUAUGACUGUCAGAUUUGAGCUCAAACGGAUAUUCAAGGAGCUGCGAAAGAUAUCAGAUUUGGAACUCUGAUUUGAUGUGAAUGUUUAUGUAUAUUGACAGGUUGUUGACUAUAAGUAAGAAGGUACUAGCUUCUUCCUUUCACGCCGGACCAUCCACCCUAACAAGCACACGUUCACAUGGGAAUCGAGCGUCGGUGUAGUGAUGAGAACCAUCCUUUUUCUCUCUCUAAAUAUCGUUCUCAGUCUCUCAUAUAUUUCUGCCCAAAUUGCGGCGGGUGGGUGGAGAUCGAGUUGUGAACUCCUUUUGGAGGCGCCGGAUGAAGCGUUUCGUACGCGCGUUGGAGCGGCGUGUUUUCGUCUUUUGCGGGUUCACUUGGGGUAAGCUUUUGAGGAUUUGCUUUAAUCUUAGCUUUAAAGUGUUCUGUAGCCUCUAAUGAAUCUUUGUUUGGCAUGUUGAUCCAUUUUAUAUUGGAAUUAUUUGGAGGGUUAAUUGUACGUUAGGGCACUCAAAUUGCAACGUUUUUAAAAAUAUGACGGGUUGGAUCUCAUUUUGCUUUCAGUAACUAAUUGUAGUAACGAAAAAGGUUGGCGAAGACGGUUCCGAGUAAUCCGACGAGCGUUACAGAAGUUAUUAAAGAGAAUAGACGUUUAGCUUCGGCGUCUGUGCGGGAGGGCCAAGGCCAGACGUCGUAAAUCAUGAUAAUGGAUUUAAUGGCAUCGUGGCACGUAACGAAGACUAUAAUUUUCGGGGGGUCGCGAAGCGGAAACACGUGGGCGCAGUUGAGUAUCGGGCGGCGGAUACGGGUGGCGAAAGGGCCAAUUUGCAGAGUGCUCACAAGCAAUCGGAACGCGAAUGGAGGUGGGUUGUGCUUACGAAUGCGACUAUGUCGCCUUGUCUUUAGCAUUAUCUCUAUUGAUUGCAUGUGCAUGUAGGACAAGACUAAAUGGUGAUAAUAAUAUGCAAUUAAUGUAAAGGCUAAUGUGAAGAAUGGGCAUGUACAACGAUUGCAGCUGACUAAAAUAUAGCUAAGUAGCGCAAGGGUGAGAAUGUAAUUGCUAGUAAUGUUAAGAGUGAUAUUAAUAAUAAGUUGCAUAGAUAGAAAUGUCAAUGUAUGAUGAGGAAUUAGAUGAGUAUCUCGUAGUAAGCCGAGUGAUGGACAAAUAGGAGUUGCUCAAGGUAUAAUGAGUGGCAUUCACUAGUGGUAAAGAAUCAUAGUGUGAUGUGAACAUAGUUUGGAAAAGAAGAAUGAUCUAUGUGUAAAUAAACUAGGUUUAUAGAAUGUGAAGCAUAAAUAAUGGGUGACUUUAGGGUUGAGGUAAGGGUUAGUAUCCUAGCAGAUAAGUUUCCAUUAGGGUUGAAGACCAACCCUUGUGAUGAUGAAAUGCGAUUCCGGAAUCCCAAGGCUAUAGGAUUACACCAAAGUAGGUUGUUGAGGGUGUGCGACGAUUUCGCGCCAAAGGGCUAAAGAACAUUGUACGUGGCAGUGUGCGUACGAUUUCGCGCCGGAAUGGUUAGCCAGUUGUGGUUAUCUACGCUGUUGACUGAACACUGUCGUCGCGUUUUGCGCGAUUUCAGCCGGCCGUGGUGGCUAAGUCAUGGACUAGGGCCGAUUGUUUGAGAUGAGUGCAUUAGUUCGCCGCCAGACGGCUAGGACAGGAGUACGGUGAGCUGUUGCCAGCUGAGGUACAUGUGAGAGUUCCUUCACCUCGAGCUAGACAGUGUGCUGACUAUCCGCGAUUGAUCGACUCAAGACCGAGUCGGGUGGCAUAGAGAAGUAAGGUAAGAGAAACCUUAGGAAAGAAUGGCCAGUGAAAAAGUGCAACAAAGUGUAAAGAAUAAAGAAUAAGUAAAGAAUAAAGAUCGGCUAAGGAAUAAGAAUAGCUGAUAAAGUAAAGAAAGGUUACAAGUAAAGAAUAGCUAAGAGCUAAAUGUAAACAUUAAAUGAUAAGAGUAGCGUUAAAGUAACCUACUUGCAUGAUUACAGGUAUUGCAUAUUGCAUUUCGUGAGGCAUGAUAUGUAUUUCAAUUAAAUAUAUAUCUGUUGUAUAUUGUUGAACUAACAUGUUGCAGUGCCUCCUCGGACCUAUCGGUC